AGGACCCUACGGGGCGCAGCAGUAGGGAAUCUUCCACAAUGGACGAAAGUCUGAUGGAGCAACGCCGCGUGAGUGAAGAAGGGUUUCGGCUCGUAAAGCUCUGUUGGUAGUGAAGAAAGAUAGAGGUAGUAACUGGCCUUUAUUUGACGGUAAUUACUUAGAAAGUCACGGCUAACUACGUGACAGUAGCCGCGGUAAUACGUAGGUGGCAAGCGUUGUCCGGAUUUAUUGGGCGUAAAGCGAGU
rnacentral:rRNA from 1 species